AGGGUUUGAUCAUGGCUCAGAACGUACGCUGGCGGCACGCCUAACACAUGCAAGUCGAACGCAGUAGCAAUACUGAGUGGCAGACGGGUGAGUAACAUGUGGGAAUCUGCCUUGUGGUUCAGGACAACAUUGGGAAACCGAUGCUAAUACUGGAUAAGCCCUUACGGGGAAAGUUUUAAUGCCAUAAGAUGAGCCCGCAUUUGAUUAGUUAGUUGGUGAGGUAAUGGCUCACCAAGACAAUGAUCAAUAGCUGAUCUGAGAGGAUGAUCAGCCACACUGGGACUGAGACACGGCCCAGACUCCUACGGGAGGCAGCAGUGGGGAAUCUUGCACAAUGGAGGAAACUCUGAUGCAGCGAUGCCGCGUGAGUGAAGAAGGCCUUUGGGUUGUAAAGCUCUUUUGUAGGGGAAGAUAAUGACUGUACCCUAAGAAUAAGGUCCGGCUAACUUCGUGCCAGCAGCCGCGGUAAUACGAAGGGACCUAGCGUAGUUCGGAAUUACUGGGCGUAAAGCGCGCGUAGGCCGUUGAGUUAGUUAAUUGUGAAAUCCCAAAGCUUAACUUUGGAACUGCAAUUAAAACUGCUCGACUAGAGUUUGAUAGAGGAAAGCGGAAUACAUAGUGUAGAGGUGAAAUUCGUAGAUAUUAUGUAGAACACCAGUUGCGAAGGCGGCUUUCUGGAUCAACACUGACGCUGAGGCGCGAAAGUAUGGGUAGCAAAGAGGAUUAGAUACCCUCGUAGUCCAUACCAUAAACGAUGAUUGCUAGAUGUUGGAAAUUUAUUUUCAGUAUCGCAGCUAACGCAUUAAGCAAUCCGCCUGGGGAGUACGACCGCAAGGUUAAAACUCAAAUGAAUUGACGGGGACCCGCACAAGCGGUGGAGUAUGUGGUUUAAUUCGUCGCAACGCGAAGAACCUUACCAGGCCUUGACAUACCGAUUAAGAGACGCAGAGACGCGUCUUGUCAGUUCGGCUGGAUCGGAUACAGGUGCUGCAUGGCUGUUGUCAGCUCGUGUCGUGAGAUGUUGGGUUAAGUCCCGCAACGAGCGCAACCCCU
rnacentral:rRNA from 1 species